rnacentral:rRNA from 1 species
CCUACGGGUGGCUGCAGUGGGGAAUCUUCCGCAAUGGGCGAAAGCCUGACGGAGCAACGCCGCGUGAUCGAAUGAAGGCCUUCGGGUUGUAAAGAUCUGUUGACAGGGACGAAUAAGCAAUGCAAAUAGUUUUGUGUAUGACGGUACCUGUUAAGAAAGCUCCGGCUAACUACGAGCCAGCAGCCGCGGUAAUACGUAGGGAGCAAGCGUUGUCCGGAAUUACUGGGCGUAAAGGGCGCGUAGGGGGGCGAUUCAGUCAGGUGUGAAAAUUCCGGGGUUAACCUGGAGACCGCAGUUGAAACUGGGUGUCUUGAGGGCAGGAGAGGAAAGUGGAAUUCCUGGUGUAGCGGUGAAAUGCGUAGAUAUUAGGAGGAACACCAGUGGCGAAGGCGACUUUCUGGACUGUACCUGACGCUGAUGCGCGAAAGCGUGGGUAGCGAACGGGAUUAGAUACCCUGGUAGUC